UGCGUAGGUGGUUAGGCAAGUCAGAUGUGAAAUCCCACAGCUCAACUGUGGAACUGCGUUUGAAACUGCUUAGCUUGGGUAUAUGAGAGGAAAGGGGAAUUCUAGGUGUAAGAGUGAAAUCUGUAGAUAUCUAGAGGAACACCAGCGGCGAAGGCGCCUUUCUGGCAUAUUACUGACACUGAGGCACGAAAGCGUGGGGAGCAAACAGGAUUAGAUACCCUGGUAGUCC
rnacentral:rRNA from 1 species